CUGAGCAUCCUGAAGACUGAAGUCCCCUCUUUAUCGACUGCAUAGGUACAGCAUGUGCAUCAUCACAAAAGCCUUCUUCUGCCACCUCACCACUGUGCCUCACAUCUGAACUCUGUGAGGCAGAGGGAAAUCCAGAUAUCAUGCCCAUUCAGUCAAUGGUCUCU
rnacentral:sRNA from 1 species